AAAAAGAAUUUGUGGCAUAAUUUCAAGAUUUUUCACUUGAUAUCUGAAUGGAUGGUUGAUAUUCACCACAGAAGAGAUUACAUGCUAUUAUAGGAGGUUGAAGCCGUGACUAGAAGAUGGGGACAGGCAAAAUAAUGAACUUAGUCUCAAGUAUGCUGAGUUUGAGAUGUUUUGGGGUGAUUCAAACAGACAGUUGAAAGAUGGAUUUCAAACCUAGGAAAGAGUCCUAGGUUCAAGAAACAAAGUUGGAAACCAUAUAAAAGUUGAAAUUGAAAUUGUGGGAGUGGAUCCAUUUACUCGACAAAUAUUUAAUGGAACCCAAUUAUAGGCCAUAGAUUCUUCUAGUUGCUGAGGAUUUAGAAGUGAGCAAAAUAGGAAACAAUUCCAGCCUCUUGUAGAACUUGCAUUUUGGCAGCGGGAGCCAACAAUAGCAAAUAGGUAAAAUGUAUAACAUAUCAAGUGGUGAUAAAUAGAGCAUGGAAGGAGAGACACAGUGCAGGCGUGGUAAUCAUAGAAAGGUUUGCAACUUUUGAAAGGGCAGUCAAGGAGGACCUCACAGAGUGGGUGGUGUUUAAGGAAAGACAAAAAGAGAAGCAACAGCUUAUAUAGUCAUGAGUAGAAAGGGUAAGGCUGAAUAUAUAUACACACACACGCACCACAUCUUCUUUAUCCAUUCAUCCACCAAUGGGCACUUGGGUGGCUUCCACAUCUUGUCUACUGUGACUAAUGCUUCAACGAACAUAGAAGUGAGGGUUCCCUUUUCUUCAUCCUCUCCAACACUUGUUAUUUCUUGUCUUGUGAAUUAUAGCCAUUCUGAGAGAUGUGAGGUGAUAUCUCAUUGUAGUUUUGAUUUGCAGUUUAAAAAUGAAAUGUCAUCUGAAAAUCAUUUUUUAUGCCUUAAGUGUAAAAUACAGAUUAAUUGCUGGAAUAAUAGAAAUUACCAGAAAUUUGGGAGGUUUACUUAAACAGUGAGAAGGGAUAUUUGAAGUUGAGGUGUUUUAGAAAAUCAUUCUAGUAUGUCGUUUCUGUCUAUAUAUCUAAAUACGUAUCUUUCUAUCUGUAUACAUCUUCAGGUAACUUCAGAUCCUGUCUUUGAGUUCAUACUCUUGCUCUAAACAAGUCUACAAUGAUCCUUCACCAUGGCCAGUCUGUAAUUCUAGAGAGCUCUAUACUCCACGAGGUCAUAGAAGAGAUGCCUAGAAACUUCUAAAGCAUACCAUCUCCAACACAUUAAUGGUUUCUGUGUGCCUUUUUAUCACAAAUCUUGCUUUUAGAUAUUUAAGUUACUAAAAAUUGUGCAGACAUAGUUUAAUCUUUUCUUCCUGGUAGCUAAGAAAGACAAAAUUUGUGGCCAUUUUUGAUUAAUUUCUGUAGAGCCCAAGGAAAGUGUUAACCUUUUCUACUUAUUUACAUUACUUUUUUGCAUGUGUCUAACUAAAACAAUAAGAUUGUGAAUGCCUAGCUUGGUGUUAUUUUAAUAUGCCCAGAUACUAUAUC
rnacentral:lncRNA from 1 species